AGAGUUUGAUCAUGGCUCAGGACGAACGCUGGCGGCGUGCCUAACACAUGCAAGUCGAACGGGACCGGGGGCAACUUCGGUUCAGUGGCGGACGGGUGCGUAACACGUGAGGAACAUGACCUUCGGCGGGGGAUAGCCGGCCCAACGGCCGGGUAAUACCGCGUACGACCUUUCGGGGACAUCCCUGGAUGGUGAAAGCAGCAAUGCGCCGAUGGAGUGCCUCGCGGCCUAUCAGCUAGUUGGUGGGGUAACGGCCUACCAAGGCGACGACGGGUAGCUGGUCUGAGAGGAUGAUCAGCCACACUGGCACUGAGACACGGGCCAGACUCCUACGGGAGGCAGCAGUGGGGAAUUUUGCGCAAUGGGCGAAAGCCUGACGCAGUAACGCCGCGUGGAGGAUGAAGGCCUUCGGGUUGUAAAGCACUUUUAGUGGGGAUGAAAAGCUCAGGGUUAACACCUCUGGGUCUUGACCUAACCCACAGAAAAAGCACCGGCUAACUCUGUGCCAGCAGCGGCGGUAAUAC
rnacentral:rRNA from 1 species